UGUGAGCCACCGCACGCGGGGGUCGCCGAAUAGACUCCCUCGCAACAGAGGAUCGGUGGACAGGGAAGUCCGGUGAGAGACCGGCGCGGGCCCGCCACUGUGACCGAGACGAAGCUCGACGCACGCGCACCGCGCAGCCACUGGCCCAGGCCGGGAAGGCGCGCCGAGCAGCUCGGAAGCCAGGAGACCUCCCUCCGGUCCGGAACCGUCG
rnacentral:ncRNA from 18 species